rnacentral:tRNA from 1 species
GCCUGGGUGGCUCAGUCGGUUGAGCGUCCGACUUCGACUCAGGUCACGAUCUCGCGGUCCGUGAGUUCGAGCCCCGCGUCAGGCU